UACGUAGGGGGCAAGCGUUGUCCGGAUUUAUUGGGCGUAAAGAGCGUGUAGGCGGCUAGAUAGGUCCGUUGUGAAAACUCGAGGCUCAACCUCGAGACGUCGAUGGAAACCAUCUGGCUAGAGUCCGGAAGAGGAGAGUGGAAUUCCUGGUGUAGCGGUGAAAUGCGUAGAGAUGCGGAGGAACACCGAUGGCGAAGGCAGCCCCCUGGGUUAACACUGACGCUCAGGCACGAAAGCGUGGGGAGCAAACAGG
rnacentral:rRNA from 1 species